rnacentral:rRNA from 1 species
GACGAACGCUGGCGGCGUGCCUAAUACAUGCAAGUAGGACGCAGUUGCGAACGGGUGAGUAACGCGUAGGUAACUGCCUAUUAGAGGGGGAUAACUAUUGGAAACGAUAGCUAAUACCGCAUACUAGUAGAUGGACCUGCGUUGUAUUAGCUAGUAGGUAGGGUAAUGGCCUACCUAGGCAACGAUACAUAGCCGACCUGAAUGGGUGAACGGCCACACAGGAACUGAGACAAGGCCCAGAAUCCUACGGGAGGCAGCAGUAGGGAAUCUUCGGCAAUGGGGGGAACCCUGACCGAGCAACGCAGCGAGAGUGAGGAAGGUUUUCGGAUAGUAAAGCUCUGUUGUUAAGGAAGCGGUACUUAACCAGAAAGGGACGGCUAACUACGUGCCAGCAGCCGCGGUAAUUC